GAAAGGGAAGUGGAUGCCGGGUGACAAGAUAAAGAAACAAAAACAAAUUGAAACAACAAACCCACAAAUGUCCACAACAUCAGCCUUGUUGAUAAGAUGCUUUAAUAAGGCUCCUGCUCAUACAGAAGAAGGAAGCAACUCUAUGUAAUGCAGGAUUGCAGUGGGAAGAGGGUAUCUGACACUGUUGGCCAUCAGGAAUCAGUCAAGAAUGUGGAUAAAUCUCCUGCAAUCCAUCUUUCCACCAAGAAAUACCUCAGAGCACAUCCCUGCUGAUGGGUUCUUGUGGAUUAAAUGAGAAAAUGAACGUACAGUGCAUGCCUGACA
rnacentral:lncRNA from 10 species